UUUAUACCGUCUUUCCUUCCCCCUAUUCACACCACCACCCUUACUGCUGAUCUGCCUAGUAACCGCAGUAAAAGUCCAAACUAAUCACCCUCUCUAUACAUUAAGACAAAGUGUAACUAUCUGAUUGCAUAAAGCAUAAAAGCACGCCCUGUUAAAGAACACAAUAUAACCUGUGAUGUGGAAUAAAAUGUUCAAGAUGUCACUUUGAAUAACUUCUGUCUGUGUGUGUCAUGGUGGCCUCACCAGUCCUGCUAAGAGAUUG